rnacentral:sRNA from 1 species
CAGGGAGACUUGAACACAAGCACUGCUUAUCUCGAAAGCUGAUCUGCUCACCGAGGUGGCCCUUGAGCAUGGACAGCCUGGAUCUGCUGGAUCGGUUCUUGGGGAAAAGCUGUGCUUCAGAGACAAGGUUGAAGAACUUCGCCUGCAUAUGAUGGAAGAUGACAAUGGGAACCACAGGUGUCAUUGGUGGCUUUGUUUUACAAAGUCUUCACCUUUCUGCCGAGUCACGGGACUAAGUUCAACUCAAUUUCUACUUUCCGCCUUCCUUUGGAAUAAUAGUUUUGGAAGCCAAGUAUUAGUAUAUGAUAUCAGGUGUGUUUUCUAAAGAUUCAAGUUCAGUGGGCUGAAUGCACUUUCGUGACUUCAUUAGACCACUGAGCCCAAGGAGAAAAGUGCCAAUCUUACUAGACAUGAGGAAAAAGACACAUCUUUUGCUCUUGCUGGAAGUGGUGUCCUACUUUCUACAAGCAGUCGUCAUCUGGUUUAUACUUGCCUUGUUCAGUUUUUGUGUGAUAUUUUAUUCUCUGCCUAAUAGAUAUUAAAGUAUCAAGGUGUCAA